rnacentral:rRNA from 2 species
UACGGAGGGUGCAAGCGUUAUCCGGAUUCACUGGGUUUAAAGGGUGCGUAGGUGGGCAGGUAAGUCAGCGGUGAAAUCCCCGAGCUUAACUUGGGAACUGCCAUUGAUACUAUCUGUCUUGAAUACCUUGGAGGUGAGCGGAAUAUGUCAUGUAGCGGUGAAAUGCUUAGAUAUGACAUAGAACACCAAUUGCGAAGGCAGCUCACUACACGGUCAUUGACACUGAGGCACGAAAGCGUGGGGAUCAAACAGG